rnacentral:piRNA from 1 species
UCUGGUGUGUCCUCAGGCACAGUUUGUCAGA